GAGAGAGAGAGAGAGAGAGAGAGAGAGAGAGAGGCUGGGGUUAGUGUGAGAGGGAGGAGGGAACUGGCCGAGGGAGGGGUGCUAGGUUGUUAGGAGGGGAAGAGGCUAAUUUUUUUUGAAAAAUAGCUCUAAAUGCCACCCUUUUUAUAAUUUUAAAUGAAAAUACCACCCCUCCCCAAUUUUUUUGCAACUAUCACCUAUAAAUAUAUUUAUUGUCCACUUAUUGCACACAUAUCACAUUUGUUGAAAUUUUGGUCUCUCUCAACUCGCUUAGCUCCCUAUUCACACACACACACUCACUCACUCUCUCUCUUUCUCUCUCUCUCUCUCUCUCUCUCUCUCUCUCUCUCUCUCUCUCUCUCCCCCUAUUCGCUUCCUCGCGCAGCUCUCUCUCGCUCUCUCUCUCUCCCUAUUCGCUUC
rnacentral:sRNA from 1 species